CCUUAAAAAGCUGAGUACAAGGGAUGACAUGCCUGGGCAUGUUUUGUUUUUCGACCACACCAGACUCGACACGCAGAGGAGCAGAAAGAAACGUCGUUCAUAAAAUUGUGAAACUUUAAGGCUUGAUAAACCAAGAAUUCAGAAGGAUCACCACUGUUGCCCUGGAAACCACAUUUAUGGCAAAGCUGGACCAUUACUCUCCGAAAUUGAUGUCCUUGCUGUUCUCAAGGGGGGGGGGGGGACUGCAAAAACGAAGAUUCAGCGCAUCCGUAACAUGCUGCUAGAGGAUGAGUCUGUGGAGACAAGGAGAGAGGCUGCUAUCCGUGGCUUGGUGGUGUACCUUAGGGAAAAGGAGGAGGAUCUCUUCAGAGAACAGGAUGGUGACGAGGACAUUACAAACGAUGUAAUGAAGAUUGUGGUAACCAGAGGUGCCAUGGUGUCUAAUCCAGCCACCGCAACAAUAAUUCUUGAGGGAACAGAAGUCCUGGCGGACCUGGAUGUACCCAGGGCCUGUGCCUUGCUCAUGGGGCUGAUAUACGCUCUUAAUCUCAGCUACCCAAAAGAACUGAAAAAUACCUUUGAAGUGUUUCAAAAGAUAUUCCUCGAGCUGGAUGAUCUCAAAGCAAGCCCAAAGGUAAUGUCACUGAAAAGUAAACUGCUGUUCUAAAAUAAAUGUGAAGGGUGAAGUUAUCCAUCAAAGAGUUGUUUGCAAAGUUGAAUGUUGUUUACAGUACCUUGUGUUACAUACCCUACAGAAGGAGUAAAGCUAAGUUCAUUGAGCUUAAAAUGCAUGUAGCUUAAAAUAGUGCACUUUUUGCAAGUUUGGCACAAAAAUGCAAGUGACUUUGUUAUCAUUUAUUUUGUUUUUUUUUUAUUUGGGUUAUAUGACAUUUUCAAAAUGAGUGUAGUACACACAGAAAACAGUGUUCAGCUCGCUUCACCUAUGGAGAAGCAGAAGCAAAAGUCUUUUUGAGUUUACUUUUUUUUUUUUUUUACACUUUUUUAUGUGUUAUUUUUCAAUAAACAUAUUGCAAGUUUGGCACAAAAAUGCAAGUAACUUUGUUAUAAUUUAUUUUGUUUUGUUUUUUAUUUGGGUUGUAUGACAUUUUCAAAAUGAGUAUUACACACAGAAAUAUGUGUUAUAUGUGUUAUGUGUUAUUUUUCAAUAAACAUAUUGAUUAUAUAA